rnacentral:misc_RNA from 1 species
UCCGUGUUAACCACGGCAGUCUCUUUAGAGAGCCCAACUAAAUGCUGGCAACUAAAGACAAGGGUUGCGCUCGUUGCGGGACUUAACCCAACAUGUCACCACACGAGCUGACGACAGCCAUGCAGCACCUGUCACUUGGUCGUAUUGCUACGAAAGACGUAUCUCUACGUUUGUCCAAGGAUGUCAAACCCAGGUAAGGUUCUUCGCGUUGCUUCGAAUUAAACCACAUGAUCCACCGCUUGUGCGGGCCCCCGUCAAUUCCUUUGAGUUUUAGUCUUGCGACCGUACUUCCCAGGCGGGGUACUUAGUGCGUUAGCUCCGCUUCAGCAGGGGUCAAGACCCGCCAAAGCUAGUACCCAUCGUUUACGGCGUGGACUAC